UUAAAGGGUCCGUAGGUGGAAUUGUAAGUCAGUGGUGAAAUCGUUCGGCUUAACCGGAAAACUGCCAUUGAUACUGCAGUUCUUGAGUAUGCUCGAGGUAGNCGGAAUAGGUCAUGUAGCGGUGAAAUGCAUAGAUAUGACAUAGAACACCAAUAGCGAAGGCAGCUUACCAGAUCAUAACUGACACUGAGGGACGAAAGCGUGGGGAGCGAACAGGAUUAGAUACCCUGGUAGUCCACGCCGUAAACGAUGAUCACUAGACAUUGGCGACAUACUGUCGGUGUCAAAGCGAAAGUAGUAAGUGAUCCACCUGGGGAGUACGCCGGCAACGGUGAAACUCAAAGGAAUUGACGGGGGCCCGCACAAGCGGUGGAGCAUGUGGUUUAAUUCGAUGAUACGCGAGGAACCUUACCUGGGCUUAAAUGCAGAACGACCGAUCCGGAAACGGAUCUUUCUUCGGACGGACUGCAAGGUGCUGCAUGGUUGUCGUCAGCUCGUGCCGUGAGGUGUCGGGUUAAGUCCCAUGACGAGCGCAACCCCUAUCGUUAGUUGCCAGCGGAUAAUGCCGGGGACUCUAACGAAACUGCCCGUGCAAGCGGAGAGGAAGGUGGGGAUGACGUCAAAUCAUCACGGCCCUUACGUCCAGGGCUACACACGUGCUACAAUGGCGCAUACAAAGGGCAGCUACCACGCGAGUGGAUGCUAAUCUCUAAAGUGCGUCUCAGUUCGGAUUGAAGUCUGCAACUCGACUUCAUGAAGCUGGAAUCGCUAGUAAUCGCGCAUCAGCCAUGGCGCGGUGAAUACGUUCCCGGGCCUUGUACACACCGCCCGUCAAGCCGUGGAAGCUGGGGGUGCCUGAAGUCGGUGACCGCAAGGAGCCGCCUAGGGCAAAACUAGUAACUGGGGCUAAGUC
rnacentral:rRNA from 1 species